rnacentral:tRNA from 1 species
GGCAAUAUAGUUUAAAUAGAACAUCUAGCUUGCACCUAGAUAGAGGGAAUAUUUCCCUAGAGCCA